UAAUACGGAGGGGGCGAGCGUUAUUCGGAAUUAUUGGGCGUAAAGGGCGCGUAGGCGGCUUGGCAAGUCAAAGGUGAAAUCCCUCGGCUCAACUGAGGAACUGCCUUUGAAACUGCCUGGCUUGAGGCCGGGAGGGGGUAGCGGAAUUCCUGGUGUAGCGGUGAAAUGCGUAGAUAUCAGGAGGAACACCGUUGGCGAAGGCGGCUCACUGGACAGAUACUGACGCUGAGGCACGAAGGUCGGGGGAGCAAACAGGAUUAGAUACCCUGGUAGUCCCGACAGUAAACGAUGGGCACUAGGUGUCGGAGGUAUCGACCCCUCCGGUGCCGCAGUUAACACAUUAAGUGCCCCGCCUGGGGAGUACGGCCGCAAGGUU
rnacentral:rRNA from 1 species